rnacentral:rRNA from 1 species
GACGAACGCUGGCGGCGUGCUUAACACAUGCAAGUCGAACGGAAAGGCUCCAGCUUGCUGGAGUACUCGAGUGGCGAACGGGUGAGUAACACGUGGGUAAUCUGCCCUGCACUCUGGGAUAAGCCUGGGAAACUGGGUCUAAUACUGGAUAUGACCUUUCUCCUUAUGGGGUUUGGUGGAAAGUUUUGCGGUGUAGGAUGAGCCCGCGGCCUAUCAGCUUGUUGGUGGGGUGAUGGCCUACCAAGGCGACGACGGGUAGCCGGCCUGAAAGGGUGAUCGGCCACAUUGGGACUGAGAUACGGCCCAGACUCCUACGGGAGGCAGCAGUGGGGAAUAUUGCACAAUGGGCGGAAGCCUGAUGCAGCGACGCCGCGUGAGGGAUGACGGCCUUCGGGUUGUAAACCUCUUUCAGCAGGGACGAAGCGUAAGUGACGGUACCUGCAGAAGAAGCACCGGCUAACUAUGUG